rnacentral:rRNA from 1 species
CGCUGGCGGCGUGCCUAACACAUGCAAGUCGAACGGAACUGCUUCGAAGGAUUUCUUUGGAAUGACAUUGAUUCAGUUUAGUGGCGGACGGGUGAGUAACGCGUGAGUAACCUGCCUUCAAGAGGGGGAUAACAUUCUGAAAAGAAUGCUAAUACCGCAUGACAUAUGAUUGUCGCAUGGCAGACAUAUCAAAGAUUUAUCGCUUGAAGAUGGACUCGCGUCCGAUUAGUUAGUUGGUGAGGUAACGGCCCACCAAGACCGCGAUCGGUAGCCGGACUGAGAGGUUGAACGGCCACAUUGGGACUGAGACACGGCCCAGACUCCUACGGGAGGCAGCAGUGGGGAAUAUUGCACAAUGGGGGAAACCCUGAUGCAGCGACGCCGCGUGGAGGAAGAAGGUCUUCGGAUUGUAAACUCCUGUUGUUGAGGAAGAUAAUGACGGUACUCAACAAGGAAGUGACGGCUAACUACGUG